AGAUGCGAUCAUACCAGCACUAAAGCAUCGGAUCCCAUCAAAACUCCGAAGUUAAGCGUGCGUGGGCGAGAGUAGUACUAGGAUGGGUGACCUCCUGGGAAGUCCUCGUGUUGCAUUCC
rnacentral:rRNA from 1 species